CACCACCUCUCCCACCCAACUCGGCCACGCAACCCCUCUCCCCAUAAAUACAGCGGAGUGGAUCGCUCACUAGGAAGCAAAGCCCGAGAUCAAACCAACACACAAAGCCACUCACUCUGCGCAGCAACGGCCCGCUCUCGCUUCGGGCUACCACAACUUGGCGUCGUUAUGAGCACCACCAACUCAACCACUGAUCUUCCGGUGGCGAUGACCGGUGCUGCCGGGUGCCCACUACUUCGGCCAGAACAUUCGACUGUUCUUGGCGAACGGAACUUCCAUACCUACGAGCAGGAGCAGCUACACCAAGAUUUCUCCCUUGUUGUCACCUACGCCGGGCCGCGCCGUCGUUUUUCUCCUCAAGACAUCACGGCCGCCAUCGUCGGAGCAAGUCCCCUGAUCCCGGCAAAUGCAUUCCGGGGGCCCGUGCUAUCCAAUCAACGAUGGCGAAAGCAGCUGUUGGAGAAGGACCGGGCUGGAAAUUGCCAGAAACCCAGGGGUCCCUGGCGAAUCGUGAUGGCAGGACGGGCUUCAUGGCGGGCACAUCGUCUGUUUCCAGACCAAACGUAACAACACCAGCCUCCGUGGAGUCGUCAGUGUAACCAUAUAGAAUUCCAGACACUAUGUCAUAUGACCACUUUGUAACACAGUCCUCUAUUUUUUCUUUGUCAACGAUCUCAUCUGAAAGUAAAGAUUGUAAAUUAUAACCACCGGCUGAUGUGUCUGCCUCCGCUGCAACCUUCUGACGGGCGUGUCCUCAACAAACAAAGGCUGCGGGAUCUUUUGUAGCCUUUUCCGUCUUGCAUCUGGUAUGGUUGAUGAUGUGAACAAAUGUUCAUUUGUAAAA